CAUUUAUCAAAUUUUGUAUAAAGAAAGUAGUCUCAACAUAUAAUUAAAAACUUGUUCCCCUUAACCUAUUUGUACUGGUAUUAUACAAUUACUUUAUGGUUUCCGUGUUUGGAUGGCCUGAUCCAAACACGCGGGAAUGUUGCGAGAGUUAAGAAAAGCGAGCGAAAUUACGAGCCGAAGGCGAGUGAUUUUGCCCGCUUUUCUUAACUCGAGCAACAUUCCCAAGUGUUUGGAUCAGUCCAUCCAAACACGGAAACCAUAAAGUAAUUGUUUUAUAAAAUAACAACAACACAGUAGUCUUCCGUGUUUGGAUGGCCUGAUCCAAACACGGCUUUCGACCAAUCAGAAUACGCGUUAUAUACAUGUUAUUUUAUAAAAUAUAUUCACUGAUUCAUAAUUUAGGUUGUAUAUAUCGGCAGAAAAUCCGAACAUGCACCUUGACAAUGUUUUACUAAAACGUUGCCAGGUUAGCAUGUUGUAUAAUUAACAGCAGUUGCAUGGUUAGUUAGCAUAUAGCUAGCAGUUAAAAGUGGUGGGGAAACUCGGUGACAACAGAACUUAUUCAUCCAUGACCAUGUUGAUCGUCACGUGCGUAUAUAGUUUCUCCACUCAACCAUUUUAAAUUAACCAUUGUGUAAUGUCAUGAAUAGAUGAUUUGACCAAAACAUUGUCGGUUAUUGGUUGAAUUGCAUGCAGGCUGUUCCAUUUACUGUUCGGAGUAUAGGGAAAGCCAGAGCAGUCAUGUUACUCGAAAGUAGGGGCAGCCAGAACAGUCAGAACAGCCAUGGGAUGUGACCUUUACGGUUCGAUUAUCCGGAGUAUUCCUAACGGUAAAUGGCCGGAGCGGCCUGUUGUAGACAACACAAUAUUCAUGUGACUAUAGUAUAUAUAUAUAUAUAUAUAUA